GAGAGAGGCUGGACGGCUGCCGGACCUUCGAGUCUGAGGAAAGUCUCCCCACCGCUCCGGACACACGAACACCUGUGAAGGGUGUCGGGCGAGAGCCCGGGCUCUGGCACAGAAACGAAAACCGCACCCUGCAAAUGCGAUGAUGCCAAAAGCUGAGGUCGCAGGGAGAACGGAUGAAACGGUGAACCCUCGUGGGUGCAAGUUGGAAAUCGGGAAGUAACGAGCAGUCCGGAAUCGUCCCGAUUGGUUUUGGUAACGCUUAGCCGAAUGCCGUCACUGCAAGAGUCCUUCGGGACCGUCCCUACCACUGACGGGUGGCAGGGAAAUAUUGCAGGAACAGAAGGGAGCUUACGUGCCUCACUC
rnacentral:RNase_P_RNA from 1 species